rnacentral:rRNA from 1 species
AGAGUUUGAUCAUGGCUCAGGAUGAACGUUGGCGGUGUGCCUAAUACAUGCAAGUCGAACGGAGUCAGUAGCAAUAUUGGCUCAGUGGCGAACGGGUGAGUAACGCGUUGGUGAUCUGCCUUGAAGUGUGGAAUAACGUUUCGAAAGAGACGCUAAUACCGCAUGUGCUCUCGAUUUUCAGAAAGUUGAGAGUAAAGGAUUUAUUCGCUUCAAGAGGAGCCUGCGUCCCAUCAGCUGGUUGGUAGGGUAACGGCCUACCAAGGCUAUGACGGGUAGGGGACCUGAGAGGGUGGCCCCCCACAAUGGAACUGAAACACGGUCCAUACACCUACGGGUGGCAGCAGUAGGGAAUAUUAGAAAUGGACGAAAGUCUGAUCUAGCAACACCGCGUGUGCGAAGAAGGCCUUCGGGUCGUAAAGCACUUUUUGGAAGGAAUAGGAAGGAAUGUACUUCCAGAAUAAGUCUCGGCUAACUACGUGCCAGCAGCCGCGGUAACACGUAGGAGGCAAACGUUAUCCGGAUUUACUGGGCGUAAAGCGCGUGUAGGUGGUACUGUAAGUAGGGCGUGAAAGCUCCUGGCUCAACUGGGAGAGGCCGUUCUAAACUACAGAACUAGAGGAUGGUAGAGGGAGGUGGAAUUCCAGGUGUAGCGGUGGAAUGCGCAGAUAUCUGGAGGAACACCGGUGGCGAAGGCGGCCUCCUGGACCAUUCCUGACACUCAGACGCGAAAGCUAGGGUAGCAAACGGGAUUAGAGACCCCGGUAGUCCUAGCCCUAAACGAUGUAGACUAGGCGUCGGAAGUUUAAUCACUUUCGGUGUCCAAGCUAACGCGAUAAGUCUACCGCCUGGGGACUACGGCCGCAAGGUUAAAACUCAAAGGAAUUGACGG